GUGGGGAAUAUUGGACAAUGGGGGGAACCCUGAUCCAGCCAUGCCGCGUGUGUGAAGAAGGCCUUUUGGUUGUAAAGCACUUUAAGCGAGGAGGAGGCUACCGAGAUUAAUACUCUUGGAUAGUGGACGUUACUCGCAGAAUAAGCACCGGCUAACUCUGUGCCAGCAGCCGCGGUAAUACAGAGGGUGCAAGCGUUAAUCGGAUUUACUGGGCGUAAAGCGCGCGUAGGUGGCCAAUUAAGUCUAAUGUGAAAUCCCCGAGCUUAACUUGGGAAUUGCAUUCGAUACUGGUUGGCUAGAGUAUGGGAGAGGAUGGUAGAAUUCCAGGUGUGGCGGUGAAAUGCGUAGAGAUCUGGAGGAAUACCGAUGGCGAAGGCAGCCAUCUGGCCUAAUACUGACACUGAGGUGCGAAAGCAUGGGGAGCAAACAGGAUUAGAUACCCGGGUAGUCC
rnacentral:rRNA from 1 species